AAAAUGGCUUCCUUUGAAGCCACAAGCUGUUAGAAAUAAGCUUAA
rfam:Colius striatus contig67198, whole genome shotgun sequence.